UCCACAUGAAGAUACUUGAUCGAAGCAUCAAGACCACCAAUAUGCUAGCACCUUGUAGAUCUCGCUCCUCAGCUUUGGAUCUGAAUCUUCUUCUAAAAUUCAAAGAAGAUGAAUGUGGUGUGAACCCUUUCAUGCAGAUCUGAUAGGAUCUAAACCAGACCACCAAGAAAAGAAGAAGAACCUUUCCCCUUCUCUUUCUUUCUCUAUUUUCUCCCUU
rnacentral:lncRNA from 1 species